UGCCUGAUGGAGGGGGAUAACUACUGGAAACGGUAGCUAAUACCGCAUAACGUCGCAAGACCAAAGAGGGGGACCUUCGGGCCUCUUGCCAUCAGAUGUGCCCAGAUGGGAUUAGCUAGUAGGUGGGGUAACGGCUCACCUAGGCGACGAUCCCUAGCUGGUCUGAGAGGAUGACCAGCCACACUGGAACUGAGACACGGUCCAGACUCCUACGGGAGGCAGCAGUGGGGAAUAUUGCACAAUGGGCGCAAGCCUGAUGCAGCCAUGCCGCGUGUAUGAAGAAGGCCUUCGGGUUGUAAAGUACUUUCAGCGGGGAGGAAGGUGUUGUGGUUAAUAACCGCAGCAAUUGAC
rnacentral:rRNA from 1 species